rnacentral:Y_RNA from 1 species
GGCUGGUCUGAGUGCAGUGGUGUGUGCAGCUAAUUGAUCACAACCCUUACAGAUUCCUUUGUUGCUUCUCCACUCCCACUGCUUCACUCGACUAGCCUUAA